rfam:Triticum aestivum genome assembly, contig: Triticum_aestivum_CS42_TGACv1_scaffold_376916_5AL
GAUUUACUCGCUCUGUUCCGAAUGACUCGUCGCAAAAAUGGAUGUAUCUAGAUGUAUUUUAGUUCUAGAUACAUCCAUUUCUGCGAUGAGUAAUUUGGGACGGAGGGAGUACUUG